rnacentral:rRNA from 1 species
AGAACGAACGCUGGCGGCAGGCCUAACACAUGCAAGUCGAACGCUCGUAGCAAUACGAGAGUGGCAGACGGGUGAGUAACACGUGGGAACCUUCCCUUCGGUCGGGAAUAGCUCAGGGAAACUUGAGGUAAUACCGGAUACGCCCUUACGGGGAAAGAUUUAUCGCCGUUGGAUGGGCCCGCGUCGGAUUAGCUAGUUGGUGAGGUAACGGCUCACCAAGGCGACGAUCCGUAGCUGGUCUGAGAGGAUGAUCAGCCACACUGGGACUGAGACACGGCCCAGACUCCUACGGGAGGCAGCAGUGGGGAAUAUUGGACAAUGGGCGCAAGCCUGAUCCAGCCAUGCCGCGUGAGUGACGAAGGCCUUAGGGUUGUAAAGCUCUUUUGGCGGGGACGAUAAUGACGGUACCGCAGAAUAAGCUCCGGCUAACUUCGUGCCAGCAGCCGC